AUUCCAGCUCCAAUAGCGUAUAUUAAAGUUGUUGCGGUUAAAAAGCUCGUAGUUGGAGUUCUGCCAGGUGACGCUCGUCCGCCCAAGUGGUGUGUACAGGGCGUGCAUCUGGCCCUUUCAAGGGGAACGUGUCUGCUCUUUAUUGAGUGGUGCGAGAUCCUUGACUUUUACUUUGAAAAAAUUAGAGUGCUCAAAGCAGGCUUUUACGCCUGAAUAUUCGUGCAUGGAAUAAUAGAAUAGGAAGUCGUUUCUAUUUUGUUGGUUUUCGGAAAUCGACUUAAUGAUUAAUAGGGACAGUCGGGGGCAUUUGUAUUCAAACGACAGAGGUGAAAUUCUUGGACCGUUUGAAGACAAACUACUGCGAAAGCAUUUGCCAAGGAUGUUUUCAUUA
rnacentral:rRNA from 1 species